rnacentral:rRNA from 1 species
ACAAGUACCGUGAGGGAAAGUUGCAAAGCACUUUGAAGAGAGAGUUAAUGAGGACGUGAAACCGGUAAGGUGGAAACGGAUAGAGUCGGCGUAUCAUUCAAUUAUUCAGUUACAUUAUUUUUAUGUUGUGACCUCUGAGCUCCAGAUUGGGACAGAGGGAAUCAGCAUAAUUUUUUGUGGUGCAUUUACUUGAUUGGUGCUUGGGGAUGUUUGAGGCAGAUUUGUUUCCGUCGUUUUGAGGCCAGCUUGCUGGUACCCAAACGGUGUUAGCAUUUUUUGUCUUGGGCAUUUGAGUAUGGCUCACGUGUAUUUAUUGGACAGAUCUGAGUGUAAGUUACGGUCGCAUGCGACACGUGCUUUUCAAUUAGUUCGGUCCAGUUAAUGCUCUCGUACUCGUUCCCCAUGUAAAAGCCGGUCAUCUAUCCGACCCGUCUUGAAACACGGACCAAGGAGUUUAUCGUGUGCGCAAGUUUUUGGGUGUUAAAAACUUAAAAGCGAAAUGAAAGUAAAUGACUCUUUAGAGUCUGAUGUGCGAUCUUGUAAAAAAGUGUAGCAUGGCCCCAUUCUAACUGUUUACAGUAGGGUGGCGGAAGAGCGUACGCGGUGAGACCCGAAAGAUGGUGAACUAUUCCUGAGCAGGACGAAGCCAGAGGAAACUCUGGUGGAAGUCCGAAGCGGUUCUGACGUGCAAAUCGAUCGUCUGACUUGGGUAUAGGGGCGAAAGACUAAUCGAACCAUCUAGUAGCUGGUUCCUUCCGA